rnacentral:rRNA from 1 species
GCUCAGAUUGAACGCUGGCGGCAUGCUUUACACAUGCAAGUCGAACGGCAGCGGGGGCUUCGGCCUGCCGGCGAGUGGCGAACGGGUGAGUAAUGCAUCGGAACGUGCCCAUGUCGUGGGGGAUAACGUAUCGAAAGGUACGCUAAUACCGCAUACGUCCUGAGGGAGAAAGCGGGGGAUUCUUCGGAACCUCGCGCGAUUGGAGCGGCCGAUGUCGGAUUAGCUAGUAGGUGAGGUAAAGGCUCACCUAGGCGACGAUCCGUAGCGGGUCUGAGAGGAUGAUCCGCCACACUGGGACUGAGACACGGCCCAGACUCCUACGGGAGGCAGCAGUGGGGAAUUUUGGACAAUGGGGGCAACCCUGAUCCAGCCAUGCCGCGUGAGUGAAGAAGGCCUUCGGGUUGUAAAGCUCUUUCGGCCGGGAAGAAAUCGUGGUCUCUAACAUAGGCCAUGGA